rnacentral:rRNA from 1 species
UACGAAGGGGGCUAGCGUUGCUCGGAAUGACUGGGCGUAAAGGGCGCGUAGGCGGAAUGCUUUGUCGGGCGUGAAAUUCCAGGGCUCAACCUUGGGGGCUGCGUUCGAGACGGGUAUUCUUGAGUUCGGAAGAGGGUCGUGGAAUUCCCAGUGUAGAGGUGAAAUUCGUAGAUAUUGGGAAGAACACCGGUGGCGAAGGCG